rnacentral:lncRNA from 1 species
UUAUUGUCCCUCCCGUGGCCACACCCCUUCAGACAUGCGCAGUGCUCCCCUUGGUCCAGCGCCGGAAGCUCCCUCGUGAGUGUCCAGUAACUAUCAGCUCACUCACUGCCUCAUGUGAAGAUUAACCCUUAAGUACUCCACACUACACGCUUCUGAAACUGGGGUAGGCACAGUGUCAGUUCUGUGCAGGGCGGACGCAGCAGGACAGAAUCUCCCUGGGCAUACUUCUAGAACAUCUAUUUUACUGCAAGAUUUUGAAGAAACAAAUUUAAUUGAUUUCCAAGGAAUGCAGAAAUAAGGAGGGACAGUUCUACCUAUGUUUGGAGUCCAUGAAUGUGUCAUCUUGCUGUGUUUGUAAAUGGAAAUUUAUUUCACAAAAUGACUCAACUGCUUCUUCACUAACAUGUUCAAAAACUUGCAAGAAGCAGCCAGGCAUGGUGGCUCACACCUGUAAUCCCAGCACUUUGGGAGGCCCAGGCAGGAAGAUUGCCUGAGGUUGGGAGUUCGAGACUAGCCUGACCAACAUGG